rnacentral:rRNA from 1 species
CCUACGGGAGGCUGCAGUGGGGAAUAUUGGACAAUGGGGGGAACCCUGAUCCAGCCAUGCCGCGUGUGUGAAGAAGGCCCUCGGGUUGUAAAGCACUUUCAGUGAGGAAGAACGCCUGGUGGUUAAUACCCAUCAGGAAAGACAUCACUCACAGAAGAAGCACCGGCUAACUCCGUGCCAGCAGCCGCGGUAAUACGGAGGGUGCGAGCGUUAAUCGGAAUUACUGGGCGUAAAGCGCGCGUAGGUGGCUUGAUAAGCCGGUUGUGAAAGCCCCGGGCUCAACCUGGGAACGGCAUCCGGAACUGUCAAGCUAGAGUGCAGGAGAGGAAGGUAGAAUUCCCGGUGUAGCGGUGAAAUGCGUAGAGAUCGGGAGGAAUACCAGUGGCGAAGGCGGCCUUCUGGACUGACACUGACACUGAGGUGCGAAAGCGUGGGUAGCAAACAGGAUUAGAUACCCCUAGUAGUC